CCUACGGGAGGCAGCAGUGGGGAAUUUUGGACAAUGGGCGCAAGCCUGAUCCAGCCAUGCCGCGUGCGGAAGAAGGCCUUCGGGUUGUAAACCGCUUUUGUCAGGGAAGAAACGCUCUGGGUUAAUACCUCGGGUAAUGACGGUACCUGAAGAAUAAGCACCGGCUAACUACGUGCCAGCAGCCGCGUUAAUACGUAGGGUGCAAGCGUUAAUCGGAAUUACUGGGCGUAAAGCGUGCGCAGGCGUCUUGUAAGACAGAGGUGAAAUCCCCGGGCUUAACCUGGAACUGCCUUUGUGACUGCAAGGCUUGAGUGCGGCAGAGGGGGAUGGAAUUCCGCGUGUAGCAGUGAAAUGCGUAGAUAUGCGGAGGAACACCGAUGGCGAAGGCAAUCCCCUGGGCCUGCACUGACGCUCAUGCACGAAAGCGUGGGGAGCAAACAGGAUUAGAUACCCUUGGUAGUCCACGCCCUAAACGAUGUCAACUAGUUGUUCGGUGAGGAGACUCAUUGAGUAACGCAGCUAACGCGUGAAGUUGACCGCCUGGGGAGUACGGCCGCAAGGUUAAAACUCAAAGGAAUUGACGG
rnacentral:rRNA from 1 species